rnacentral:rRNA from 1 species
GUGAGGAAUAUUGGUCAAUGGGCGCAAGCCUGAACCAGCCAUGCCGCGUGCAGGAAGACGGUCCUAUGGAUUGUAAACUGCUUUUAUUUGGGAAUAAACUCCGGUACGUGUACCGGCCUGAAGGUACCAAAUGAAUAAGCACCGGCUAACUCCGUGCCAGCAGCCGCGGUAAUACGGAGGGUGCAAGCGUUAUCCGGAAUCAUUGGGUUUAAAGGGUCCGCAGUCGGUCUUAUAAGUCAGUGGUGAAAGCCUACAGCUCAACUGUAGAACUGCCAUUGAUACUGUAGGACUUGAAUUCGAUCGAAGUGGGCGGAAUGUGACAUGUAGCGGUGAAAUGCUUAGAUAUGUCACAGAACACCGAUAGCGAAAGCAGCUCACUAGGUCUGGAUUGACGCGCAGGGACGAAAGCGUGGGGAGCAAACAGGAUUAGAUACCCUUGUAGUCC